CGCUGUGUCCAUUUCUUUUACUGUCUAUGGUUCUGAAGAGAGUUAAAGAUGAACUGGAAGCAGCCGAAAGGUCUGUGAGUGAGUCCACUGGGUCCAGACGGCUCCAAAUUUCAAGAACAAAAGAAGAGAAAACGUCUUCCUCGAGAGCUCUCGGAUGAAUUUGAUAAAGAACCCCAAAAGCCAGUUUAGGUCCGGGUGAAGAGGGUCCAGUCUCGUCAGAGAGCCAGGAUGGGUCUGGCCAUGUGGAGGCUCAGUUCAUCAGGCCAUGGUUUCAAAGCUGGCCCCAGUUUUUGGGGGUAGUCUGGGAUGACGUG